rnacentral:rRNA from 1 species
GAUGAACGCUGGCGGCGUGCCUAAUACAUGCAAGUCGAGCGAACAGACGAGGAGCUUGCUCCUCUGACGUUAGCGGCGGACGGGUGAGUAACACGUGGAUAACCUACCUAUAAGACUGGGAUAACCUCGGGAAACCGGAGCUAAUACCGGAUAAUAUAUUGAACCGCAUGGUUCAAUAGUGAAAGACGGUUUUGCUGUCACUUAUAGAUGGAUCCGCGCCGCAUUAGCUAGUUGGUAAGGUAACGGCUUACCAAGGCAACGAUGCGUAGCCGACCUGAGAGGGUGAUCGGCCACACUGGAACUGAGACACGGUCCAGACUCCUACGGGAGGCAGCAGUAGGGAAUCUUCCGCAAAGGGCGAAAGCCUGACGGAGCAACGCCGCGUGAGUGAUGAAGGUCUUCGGAUCGUAAAACUCUGUUAUUAGGGAAGAACAAAUGUGUAAGUAACUAUGCACGUCUUGACGGUACCUAAUCAGAAAGCCACGGCUAACUACGUG